UCUAUUUUGGCAGAAAAAUUGUAUCAAAUUUAGAAUUUGAAAAUGAUCUUUAUCAAAUAGAA
rnacentral:tRNA from 1 species